ACCCUGUUCCCAGACCCGGGUGGUGGUCUGGGGGGUUGGAAGGGGCGGGAAGGGCGCUGUCUUAAGAAUCAUCCUCACAUCUCAGGGCUUCGCCCCUCGAGGGAGGUGACCCUUGGCCACCCUCUGCGCAGUUCUCCCUGAAAGGUCAUGCCACGUCUUAGCACUCUGGUCCCUGCGCCCCUGCAGGCCUCGCGGAUCCCCCACUUGUCUCGACGCAGGGGACGCCCACUUGUCUGACGCAGGGGACGUGGCUGAAGUCAGUCGGGCCGCCCGCUUGCUGCACGGCAGCCGUGGGACUGGCACAGGCUCCUCGGCAGCAUUAUGGGCAGCUGGUAGAGCGGCCACUUCUGAGAGCCGGAUGGGCCUUCCGAGGUCGGGCCGUGCCCCGCUGGGCAGCGCAGAGGGGGUGUGUAGGGCACGCGACUUGGAGCCAGGUCCAGACCCAUCCUGGCUCCUCUCAGGGCUCCUUCCCCUGCCCCCAUUCCACCCCAGCCCUGCUGGCUGUCCCGCAGGACCCAGCGCCGCGGUAGCCUUCUCUGAACUGCGGCUCAGGCGGAGGUGUCACUCCUGCCUCCAGCCCAGGAGGGCAGGUCAGGUUAUGCAACGCGUGCCGCGCGAUCUCCCCCCACCUCCAACCCCCUUUUCUCCCGGGUCCACACCGCAGUUCCCACCGCUCCGGGUGUCCUCCCCAGUGCGCCGCGAUUUUUGUGUCCAAGCCCCAGAGUCCCUCUGAGACCAACCCCCAGCCAGCACAGACUUCCUGCCUUCCCAGCUCGGGGAUGUGGUCUCAUUAGGUUGCCCAAGCUGGACUUGUACUCUUGGCCUCAAGAGGUCCUUCCAUCUCAGUCUCCCAAGUAGCUGGGACUACAAGCAUGCACCACUACACUCAGCCAAAUACUUUCAAUAAUUUGCCAGCUGACAACUUGAUUGGGUUCUCCUUCAGGUUUGAAGCGCCCUCGAGAAGUGUCUAAAGGAGACAGUUGAUAGCCAAACAACAGUUUUGGAUUCACUGACUGAUUAUGAAAGAAGCAGUAGACUGGUAUCAAGAAUCAGUCAGCAAGGAGGCCCUCACCAGACGCCAGUGCCAUGUUCUUGGACUUCUCAGCCUCCAUAUUCAUGAACUAAGUUUUUGGAAUCCUUAGGCUUCCACGUGUGGAAAGCCUGAGCUAACCUACUGGAGGAUGAGCCAUCACCUGGAGCAGAUUCAGGCCAUCCUAGUUGAAGCCUCCCUAGGCCAAGCAACCGUCCAACUACCAGACAUUGACCAUUCAGCCUUGAACAUUCAGCACAAAGACAAAACAGACCAGACCAGAAGAGUCCCACAGAAUAGGGGAAACUAUUCAGAGAAAACUUAAGCCACUAAGUUUUAUGGUGUUUUGUUCUGUAGCAGAAGCAUAGGCAUACUGACAAUACAAACCGAAAUCCUUCUAACGUAGUGGACCUUUUCAGGCCAGCAUUUUUUCCUUGAAAACCUGGAGCAUGUAUCCAUCUUAUAGCAGAGAUCACUUUCACAAUGUUUGGGCUCUUGAUUUGAAUUGAUGAUGUAAUGAGCCCUCUAUCCAGAUUGUAACUAAUUACUCUGCGAAUUGACUGGAUUCCACACCCUUCUAAUAUUUUACUUUUCCUCUUUUAUCAACUCUCAUUCUUGCUGCCAUGAUCAAUGGACCAACUAUGCUUAUAACCACAAAUUUUGAUAUGCUUAAACAAAUGAACAAAUAUAUUUAAUAAUUUCUUUUUUUUUUUUGAAAUAGUAUCUUGCUCUGUCACCCAGGCUGCAGUGCAGCAGCGUGAUCUCAGCUCACUAUAACCUCCACCUCCCGGGUUCAAGUGAUUCUCCUGCCUCAGCCUCCCAAGUAGCUGGGACUACAGGCGCCCACCACCAUACCUGGCUAAUUUUUUGUAUUUUUAGUAGAGACAGGGUUUAUCCAUGUUGGCCAGGCUGGUCUCAAACUCCUGACCUCAAGUGAUCCUCCUGCCUCGGCCUCCCAAAGUGCUGGGAUUACAGGUGUGAGCCACCAUGCCCAGCCAAUAAUUUCCUGAUAUAAUAAAAAUGCCAAUACUAUACAAUUAAAUAGUAAAGUGAUAAAAAAUAGGAUAACAUGAUAACCACUAAUUAAUAUAUACUACAUAAUCAUCCUUUUCGUGAGUUGAAAUGUUCUUUUAGCACACUUUAUGGUUUAUCCUUUCUGGAAUACUAUUAUAUGAUCAUGAUUUUUCUCACACUUGUUCCAGUGAAAUAUACUUUUAGGUGUUUCCUUUGUAUUGUUCAAACUGUAAUAUCUCCAGUGGAAGAUUUUUUAAGCUUGUUCUUGUCUUGUCAGUGUCACCCACAUAGUCAUAGUCUGAAAGCAUUUUGCUUUCUGGAAAUAAGAUAUUAUAGGCACCAAGUUAUGGAAUUAUCUACUUUUCACCAAGCCUUCAUUCUUUCAGUGCUGUAUUAGAGACCUCAUUUAGGGUUCUAAGGGUGCAUAUCAAAUUGUUCCAUGAGUCUAAAAUGGAUAAUUCUUCUGUGGGCCAUUUUUAGUGCUAGAGCUAGAAAAGUUAUACUUUUAAAAGGUAAAUAGCUCACAAUGAUUUUGCAAUAUAAUUCCCACUUUACCCAAUUAUUAACUGCUGUUUGAAUAUAAAAAUAUUUUUAAACUUUUUUAUUUACAACAUAUCUAUUUAAAUUCAAUACAGCAUUCCCAAAUAAAUAUAGCAGAAGUGGGAGUUUCAAGUUACUAAACAUGUCAGUCACAAUUUAUGGAGCCGAUUGAAAGAUGGAGAAAUAUUACUGUAUUAGUUUCUUCUCACAUUGCUAUAAAGAAAUAUCUAAGACUGGGUAAUUUAAGAAGGAAAGAGGUUUAAUUGGAUCAUGGUUCCACAGGCCAUACAGAAAGCAUGAUGCUGGCAUUUUCUCAGCUUCUGGGGAGGCCUCAGGAAAUUUACAAUCAUGGAUGGGAAGGGGAGCAAGCACUUCACAUGGCCAGAGCAGAAGGAAGAGAGAGAGGCGGAGGUGCCUCACACUUUAAAACAACCAGAUCUCAUGAGAACUCUAUCUCUAUCAUGAGAACAGCACCAAAAGGGGAAAUCUGCCCCCAUGAUCCAAUCAUCUCCCACCAGGCCCCACCUCCAACACUGGGGAUUGUAAUUGAACAUGAGAUUUGGGUGGGGACACAGAUACAAACCAUAUCAUUCCACUCCUGGCCCCACUCAAAUCUCAAGUCCUUCUCACAUUGAGAAAUACAAUCAUGCCUUCCCAACAGUUGCUCAAAGUGUUAACUCAUUCCAACAUUAACUCAAAAGUCCAAAGUCUCAUCUAAGACAAGACUAGUCUCUUCCAUCCAUAAGUCUGUAAAAUCAAAAAAAAGUAAGUUACUUCCAAGAUACAAUGGGGAUAUAGGCAUUUGGUAAAUAUUCCAACUCCAAAAGGGAGAAAUCAACUAAAAGAAAGGGGCUACAGGCCCCAUAAAAGUCUGAAAUCCAGCAGGGCAGUCAUUAAAUCUUAAAGCUUCAAAAUAAUCUUUGACAUUAUGUCCCACAUCCAGGGCACACUUGUGCAAGGGGUGGGCUCCCAAAUCCUUGGGCAACUCUGCCCCUGUGGCUUUCCAGGGGUCAGCCCCCAUGGCUGCUCUUAAGGGCUGGCAUUGAGUGCUUGCAAUUUUUCCAGGCACAUGGUGGCAAGCUGUCAGUGGCUCUGCCAUUCCAGGGUCUGGAAGAUGGUGGCCUUCUUCUCAACUGCCUAUCUAUUAGGCAGUUCCCCAGUGGGUACUCUAUGUGGGGGCUCCAACCCCACAUUUCCCCUCUGCAUUGCCCUAGUAGAGGUUCUCCAUGAGGGCUCCACCCCUGCAGCAGGCUUUUACCUGGACAUCCAAGUGUUUCCAUACAUCCUCUGAAAUCUAGAUGGAGGCUCCCAAGCCUCAAUUCUUGUACUCUGUGCACCUUCAGGCUUAACACCACAUGGAAGCUGCCAAAGCUUAUGGCUCACACCCUCUGAAGCAGUAGCCGGAGCUGUACCUGGGCCCCUUUUAGCCAUGGCAUUCUCAAAGAAUGUUGAGAGAGAUGGCUGGAGGUGGAGUGGCUGGGAUGCAGGGAGCAGUGUUCUAAGGCUACAUAAGGCAGCAGGGCCCUGGGCCCAGCCAAGGAAACUAUUCUUCCCUCCUAGGACUCUGGACCCGUGAUGGGAGAGGCUGCUGCAAAGGUCUCUGAAAUGCCUUGGAACCCUUUUCUCCAUCGUCUUGUCUAUCAAUAUUUGCCUUCCUUUUAGUUAUGCAAAUUUAUGCAGCCUUCUUGAAUUCCUCCCCAGAAAAUAGGCUUCUCUUUUCUACCACAUGGCUGGGCUGCAAAUUUUCCAAACUUGUACUCUCUGCUUCCCUUUUAAAUAUAAGUUCCAGUUUCAGAUCUUUUCUUUGCUCACACAUAUGAGUAUAUGUUGUUAGAAGAAGCAGCCAGACCACAUCUUGAACAUUUCGCUGCUUAGAAAUUCCUUCUACCAGAUACCCUAAAUCAUCUCUCUCAAAUUUAAAGUUCCACAGAUCCCUAGAGCAAGGGCACAAUGCAGUCAGUUUCUUUACUAAAUCAUAGCAAAAAUGACCUGUGCUCCAGUUCCCAAUAAGAUCCUCAUCUCCAUCUGAUACCUCCUCAGCCUGGACUUCAUUAUCAGCAUUUUGGUCACAAUAAUUUGACAAGUCUCUAGGAAGUUCUAAACUUUCCCUCAUCUUCCUGUCUUUUUCUGAGCCUCCACAUUCUUCCAACUUCUGCCAGUUACCCAAUUCCAAAGAUGCUUCCACAUUUUCAGGUAUCAUUAUAGCAACGCCCCACUCGUCAGUACCAAUUUUCUGUAUUAGUCUGUUCUCACAUUGCUACAAAUACCUGAGACUAGGUAAAUUUAUAAAGAAAAGAGGUUCUGCAGGUUGUAUAGGAAGCAUAAUGGCUUCUGCUUCUAGGAAGGCCUCAGGAAACUUACAGUCAUGGUGGAAGGCAAAGGAGAAGCAAGGAUUUCACAUGGCUGGAGCAAUUACCCAAAGGGAGAAUGCCACCAAAUUCUACAAGUGAUUAGCUUUUAUUUCUAGGAGGCAAAAAACAGGUGGCUUAUGCCUGUAAUCUCAGCACUUUGGGAGGCCAAGGUGGGCAGAUCAAAAGGUUAGGAGAUUGAGAUUUAUGGAGCUUUUUUUGCCUAAACCACUUACCUUCUUAGCAUAGGGACUUUUAAAAAUUCUGAUUAUCAGAAUAUGGCUGAGAGAUGUCAGAACCAUUUUUCUCAAAUAUGAAUUCUUAGCAGGAAUAGAAAUUGCAAUUUUUUAAUUUUUAAUUUUAAGAGGAAUUAGUGCCAGAGAGAACUAUUAAGAAAGGGGUAUAUCCAGUCUAAGGAUUAUUAGGCUCAAGUCCAUGAAUAGGCUCUGGGAAGUUUGUAAACACUUGGAAAUUAUUUGCAAAAUGUGUGUGUGAAUGUGCUUUACCUUAGAGAGUUCAUGAAUUUCAUUAGAUUGUUGAAAGAGUUUUAGUAUUAACAAAGGAAAAACAAACCACCACCAUCACAUAACAAAACCACAACAGUGAUUUAAUCUUUUCACCUAACAAUAAGUAAAUUGAGGCUCUGAUGGCUAAAUUAAUAGCCUGAGGCUACACAGUCAGUGGCAGAGCCCAGGGUAAAGAGAGAACCAGCACAGCCAUUGUGGGAGCCGAGGGUAAAGAGAGAGCUAGGUGUUGUACUUAGUAAAUAAAUCAGAAAUUCCUAACUCUUAGGCUGGAGUUCUUCCUGUUAUGUGAAGCCAAAGUAGGGAAUCAUUAGGUCCAAGAAUAGGAAUUACAUUUAUAUUUUAAUGAAAAGGUGCAGUAAAAUUUAAAGGAAGAGAGAGGGUUGCAGAUGACAGAAUACAAAGAAUGUUGAGAGAGAUGAAGCAAGAUGAGUCCAUAGAAUCAGAGGCUUAGAAGUAAUUCCUAUUUAUGAAAGGGAGUGAGAACAAUGUGGUGAGGUGUAUAGAGCUAUGUGAAAGUGCUUGUCAAUAACAUGGCUGCAGAAUGCUGAUGGUGGUAAUUGAAAAGGAAGUAAAAUAUAAAAACAUUUGCAGAAUAUUUCUUUUUUUUUUUCUCUUUUUCUUUUCUUUCUUUUUUUUUUUUUUUUGAGGCAGAGUCUCGCUCUGUCGCCCAGGCUGGAGUGCAAUGGCGCUAUCGUGGCUCAUUGCAAGCUCC
rnacentral:lncRNA from 1 species